GAUGAACGCUGGCGGCGUGCUUAACACAUGCAAGUCGAACGGAAAGGCCCUGCUCUUGCGGGGUGCUCGAGUGGCGAACGGGUGAGUAACACGCGAGUAACCUGCCCUUGUCUUAGGGAUAACUUCAGGAAACUGGGGCUAAUACAGGAUAGGAGCUCCUGCAGCAUGGGGGGGGUUGGAAAGUUUCGGCGGUGGGGGAUGGUAUCGCGGCUUAUCAGCUUGUUGGUGGGGUAGUGGCUUACCAAGGCUUCGACGGGUAGCCGGCCUGAGAGCGUGACCGGCCUCCAUGGGCCUGCGGUACGGACCAGAAUCCUACGGGCGGCAGCGGUCGGGAGUAUUGCGCAGUGGGCGGGAGCCUGAUACGGUAGCGCCGCGUGCGGGAUGACGGCCUUCGAGUUGUGAACCGCUUUCGCCUGAAACGAAGCGUGAGUGACGGUAAUGGGUAAGAAAGCACCGGCUAACUACGUG
rnacentral:rRNA from 1 species